GAUGAACGCUGGCGGCGUGCUUAACACAUGCAAGUCGAACGGAAAGGCCCAAGCUUGCUUGGGUACUCGAGUGGCGAACGGGUGAGUAACACGUGGGUGAUCUGCCCUGCACUUCGGGAUAAGCCUGGGAAACUGGGUCUAAUACCGGAUAGGACGAUGGUUUGGAUGCCAUUGUGGAAAGUUUUUUCGGUGUGGGAUGAGCUCGCGGCCUAUCAGCUUGUUGGUGGGGUAAUGGCCUACCAAGGCGUCGACGGGUAGCCGGCCUGAGAGGGUGUACGGCCACAUUGGGACUGAGAUACGGCCCAGACUCCUACGGGAGGCAGCAGUGGGGAAUAUUGCACAAUGGGCGCAAGCCUGAUGCAGCGACGCCGCGUGGGGGAUGACGGCCUUCGGGUUGUAAACUCCUUUCGCUAGGGACGAAGCGUUUUUGUGACGGUACCUGGGGAAGAAGCACCGGCUAACUACGUG
rnacentral:rRNA from 1 species